GGCCCAGAUCGUUUACCGUGAAAAAAUUAGAGUGUUCAAAGCAGGCAGAUUCAAUUUUCUGCCACCGAAUACAUUAGCAUGGGAUAAUGGAAUGGACCCUGUCCUCCUAUUUUCAGUUGGUUUUGGCAGCGCGAGGACUAGGGUAAUGAUUAAUAGGGAUAGUUGGGGGCAUUAAUAUUUAAUUGUCAGAGGUGAAAUUCUUGGAUUUAUGAAAGAUUAACUUCUGCGAAAGCAUCUGCCAAGGAUGUUUUCAUUAAUCAAGAACGAAAGUUAGGGGAUCGAAGACGAUCAGAUACCGUCGUAGUCUUAACCAUAAACGAUGCCGACCAGCGAUUAGGAGACGUUGAAUACAAAACACCACCAUCGGCGCGGUCGUCCUUGGCGUUCGUGUUACGCACGAGCGCGAGGGCGGUUUAGCCCGAUGGCACCGGUGAAUGACUCCCCUAGCAGCUUGUGAGA
rnacentral:rRNA from 1 species